rnacentral:rRNA from 1 species
ACUCAAAGGAAUAGACGGGGGCCUGCACAAGCGGUGGAGUAUGUGGCUUAAUUCGAUGCAACGCGAAGAACCUUACCUGGCCUUGACAUGUACGUAGUAGAAGCCUGAAAGGGUGACGAGGUAGCAAUACCAGCGUACACAGGUGCUGCAUGGCUGUCGUCAGCUCGUGUCGUGAGAUGUUGGGUUAAGUCCCGCAACGAGCGCAACCCUUGCGUCUAAUUGCCAUCCGGCUUCGGCCGAGGCACUUUAUACGGACUGCCUCGCUUAAACGAGGAGGAAGGUGGGGAUGACGUCAAGUCAGUAUGGCCCGUACGGCCAGGGCUGCACACGUACUACAAUGCACGGUACAGAGGGGAGCAACCUGGCAACAGCAAGCAAAUCCUAAAAACCGUGCCCAGUUCAGAUUGUUGUCUGCAACUCGACAACAUGAAGCUGGAAUCGCUAGUAAUGGCGCAUCAGCUACGGCGCCGUGAAUACGUUCCCAGGCCUUGCACACACCGCCCGU